CCCGUUAACUUCGCAUUCAGGCAACUGAGUGCGACGCUAAAUGGGGUUAGGUAUCACUUAACUGAAUACAUAGGUUUCGUGAGGCGAACCCGGCGAACUGAAACAUCUCAGUAGCUGGAGGAAAAGACAUCAACCGAGAUUCCGUUAGUAGUGGCGAGCGAACGCGGACCAGGCCAGUGCCUGAUGGUGAAUUAGCAGAACGAUUUGGAAAGAUCGGCCAUAGCGGGUGACAGCCCCGUAUGCGAAAAUGAAACAUCAGGACUCGAGUAGGGCGGAACACGUGUAAUUCUGUCUGAACAUAGGGGGACCACCCUCUAAGCCUAAAUACUCGUAUGCGACCGAUAGUGAACUAGUACCGUGAGGGAAAGGUGAAAAGCACCCCGAUGAGGGGAGUGAAACAGUACCUGAAACGGAUUGCCUACAAGCAGUUGGAGGGUCCUUGAGGCCUGACAGCGUACCUCUUGCAUAAUGGGUCUGUGACUUAAUGUAUCAAGCAAGCUUAAGCCGUUAGGUGUAGGCGCAGCGAAAGCGAGUCUGAAUAGGGCGCCAGAGUUUGAUGUAUUAGACCCGAAACCCGGCGAUCUAUGCAUGACCAGGAUGAAGGUGCGGUAACACGCACUGGAGGUCCGAACCGAUUAACGUUGAAAAGUUACCGGAUGAGUUGUGCUUAGGGGUGAAAGGCCAAUCAAGCCGGGAAAUAGCUGGUUCUCCGCGAAAACUAUUGAGGUAGUGCCUCGGAUGGACACCUUGGGGGGUAGAGCACUGGAUGGAUGCGGGGGUCGCGAGACCUACCAACUCUAACCAAACUCCGAAUACCCAAGAGUGAUAUCCGGGAGACAGACGGCGGGUGCUAAGGUCCGUCGUCAAAAGGGAAACAGCCCUGACCUACAGCUAAGGUCCCCAAGUCGUGUCUAAGUGGGAAAGCAUGUGGAACUUCCAAAACAACCAGGAGGUUGGCUUAGAAGCAGCCAUCCUUUAAAGAAAGCGUAACAGCUCACUGGUCUAAAUAAGAGGUUCUGCGGCGAAGAUGUAACGGGGCUCAAGACACGCACCGAAGCUUAGGGUGUGCCAUUUAUAUGGUACGCGGUAGCGGAGCGUUCCGUAAGCCUGUGAAGCGAUCUGGUAAUGGGUCGUGGAGGUAUCGGAAGUGCGAAUGCAGACAUGAGUAGCGAUAAAAAGGGUGAGAUGCCCUUUCGCCGAAAGACCAAGGGUUCCUGCGCAAGGCUAAUCCGCGCAGGGUGAGUCGGCCCCUAAGACGAGCCCGAAGGGGGUAGUCGAUGGGAACACGGUUAAUAUUCCGUGACCUGGUGGUGUGUGACGGAUCUCGUGUGUUGUCUUCCCUUAUUGGAUUGGGAAGGCUUCGAAGAGGUCCCAGGAAAUAGCCCCACCGUAUAGACCGUACCCGAAACCGACACAGGUGGUCAGGUAGAGUAUACCAAGGCGCUUGAGAGAAGUGUCCUGAAGGAACUCGGCAAAUUGCCUCCGUACCUUCGGAAGAAGGAGGCCCCAACUAAGCGCAAGCUCUGUUGGGGGGCACAGGCCAGGGGGUAGCGACUGUUUAGCAAAAACACAGGGCUCUGCUAAGUCGGCUUCAAGACGACGUAUAGGGCCUGACGCCUGCCCGGUGCCUGAAGGUUAAGUGGAGGGGUGCAAGCUCUGAAAUGAAGCCCAGGUAAACGGCGGCCGUAACUAUAACGGUCCUAAGGUAGCGAAAUUCCUUGUCGGGUAAGUUCCGACCUGCACGAAUGGCGUAACGACUUCCCCACUGUCUCCAGGACAUGCUCAGCGAAAUUGAAUUCCCCGUGAAGAUGCGGGGUUCCCGCGGUUAGACGGAAAGACCCCGUGCACCUUUACUGCAGCUUCAGAGUGGCAUUAGGAAGAAACUGUGUAGCAUAGGUGGGAGGCUAUGAAGCGUUGGCGCCAGCUGACGUGGAGCCAUAGGUGAAAUACCACCCUGUU
rnacentral:rRNA from 1 species